rnacentral:rRNA from 1 species
AACGUAGGUGGCAAGCGUUAUCCGGAAUCAUUGGGUUUAAAGGGUCCGUAGGCGGGCCUGUAAGUCAGUGGUGAAAUCUUUCGGCUCAACCGGAAAAUUGCCAUUGAUACUGCAGGCCUUGAAUUAUUGGGAAGUAACUAGAAUAUGUAGUGUAGCGGUGAAAUGCUUAGAUAUUACAUGGAAUACCGAUUGCGAAGGCAGGUUACUACCAAUACAUUGACGCUGAUGGACGAAAGCGUGGGGAGCGAACAGG